AGGUGGGUGUAUGGAUCUUCAUCUACUUGCCCAGAGAACGGUUGCUCCUGAAUUAUGGCUAUUAGAUCAGGGCCAAGGUUGUAGCCAUCUGUAAGAAUUGGAUGUGAUGAUGGUGGUGGCUCUAAUAACUCGCCCUUUGGAGCAAAGAACUUAUAGAUAGGACUGAAUCCAUGUGGUGUGGUGAAAAUGGUAAGGUGAGUGUGGUAAAAAAAGAAAAAGAAAAGGAUACACAGACGACUUGGUUCGAAACUAGCAUAGCUACCGAUCCCCGGCAACAGCGCCAGAAAGCUUAUUGGGUAUUUUAAACGCAAACAAAAAAAUCCACAAUCGCACGGAUACCGAUGUAGCUUUCACCCGGGAGUAUUCCAGAGGUAUCGAUUUUCCACGGGGAACGUGAGUGUACUAAUUAAGAUUCAAGAUCGCCCAAGGAUAACUAUAUAAUUAUUUUUGGUG
rnacentral:lncRNA from 1 species